rnacentral:tRNA from 1 species
GCGAAAUAGCUCAGUUGGGAGAGCAUUAGACUAUAAAUCGGAAGGUCCCUGGUACGGUCCCGGGAUUCGGCA